UUUGAUCCUGGCUCAGAACGAACGCUGGCGGCAUGCCUAACACAUGCAAGUCGAACGAACUCUUCGGAGUUAGUGGCGCACGGGUGCGUAACGCGUGGGAAUCUGCCCUUGGGUACGGAAUAACUCAGAGAAAUUUGUGCUAAUACCGUAUAAUGACUUCGGUCCAAAGAUUUAUCGCCCAAGGAUGAGCCCGCGUAAGAUUAGCUAGUUGGUGGGGUAAAAGCCUACCAAGGCGACGAUCUUUAGCUGGUCUGAGAGGAUGAUCAGCCACACUGGGACUGAGACACGGCCCAGACUCCUACGGGAGGCAGCAGUGGGGAAUAUUGGACAAUGGGCGAAAGCCUGAUCCAGCAAUGCCGCGUGAGUGAUGAAGGCCUUAGGGUUGUAAAGCUCUUUUACCCGGGAUGAUAAUGACAGUACCGGGAG
rnacentral:rRNA from 1 species